AGAGAGAGAGAGAGAGAGAGAGAGAGCCAAUAAACCGCUUUAGACGUUACCGACACUAGAGACAGAUGAGAAGAAACCCCACAAACGCCAGCCGUUUGCUUGGAAUCGGAUCCAGCGGCCGUUGAUGAGAGAGAGAGAGCAGAGCUUCCCACCAAGAAUAAGUGCCUUCCCUUAAUGCUCCUAUCUGCUUCUUUCAGAUAAGCAUUGUCGUAUUCUCCACUCCUACUCCACGCGGCAGAAAUAAACCAUCUUUUGGUUUCUGGGUCUUCUACAAUUUAAAGGGAAUUCAGAUAUGUGAUUAUUUUUUCCGCGAGUUUUACAGUUUUUUUUUUUUCUUGGGUUUUUCAUGUUGUAGUCUUGGUGUGUAGGAAAAGGAAAGAGUGGGAACUGGAGAGGUGUUUUUGAAUCGUACUCGGUUUUUACAGUCUUGUUCUUGUGUAAUAGUGUGGGAUUUUGGGGUGGUCUGAGAUUCUGAGGGCGGAUUUGAGAUGGGUAUUCUGAGUGCGAUUUUGGGUUUUGUGGGUUUUGGAGUUGGAACUUCAACUGGGCUUGUGAUCGGGUAUUACGUCUUCAUCUACUUCCUGCCAACUGAUGUCAAGAAUCCUGCAAUUCGUCCAUUGGUCGAGCAAGAUUCGAAAACUCUGCAGAGGCUGCUUCCGGAGAUACCCAUGUGGGUGAAAAAUCCAGACUACGAUCGUGUUGACUGGCUCAACAAAUUUAUUGAGCUCAUGUGGCCUUACCUGGACAAGGCAAUUUGCAAAACUGCGAGGACCAUAGCAAAACCCAUUAUUGCUGAGCAAAUUCCGAAAUACAAAAUUGACUCCGUCGAGUUUGAAGUGCUUUCCUUGGGCACCCUACCGCCAACUUUUCAAGGAAUUAAAGUGUAUGUUACCGGUGAGAAGGAAAUUGAUAAUGGAGCUACAACUGAAGUGGGCAGGAAAUCCUAACAUCCUUGUUGCAGCUAAAGCAUUUGGUUUGAAAGCCACGGUUCAGGUGGUUGAUUUGCAAGUGUUUGCUUGUCCACGCAUCACCCUGAAGCCUUUGGUUUCAGCCUUUCCUUUGUUUUUCAAAAAUUUUCGUGUCUCUGAUGGAGAAGCCACAUGUUGACUUUGGAUUAAAACUGCUUGGAGCAGAUGCUAUGGCUAUUCCUGGCCUGUAUAGGUUUGUCCAGGAGCUUAUUAAAGAACAAGUGGCAAACAUGUACUUAUGGCCCAAAGCACUAGAAGUACAAAUCAUGGAUCCCACAAUGGCUAUGAGGAAGCCUGUUGGGAUUUUGCAUAUAAAAGUUCUUAAAGCAAUGAAGCUUAAAAAGAAAGAUUUCUUAGGAGGAGCAGAUCCAUAUGUGAAAAUCAAGCUCACUGAGGACAAGCUUCCUUCAAAGAAAACAACUGUGAAACACGGCACUUUGGACCCUGAAUGGAAUGAAGAGUUUAAUUUCGUAAUCAGAGACCCAGAGACUCAAGCAUUAGAGUUGAUGGUUUAUGAUUGGGAAAAGAUUGGCAAGCAUGACAAAAUGGGUAUAAAUGUCAUUCCACUGAAAGAACUUACACCUGAAGAGCCUAAAGUUGUGACUCUUGACAUACUGAAGAGCAUGGACCCCAAUGAUGCUCAAAAUGACAAGUCACGUGGACAGCUUCUUGUGGAAUUGAUCUAUAAACCCUUUAAGGAGGAUGAGAUGCCUAAAGAUGAUGAAGAUCCAAAUGCUGUACAAAGGGCUCCUGAAGGAACACCUGCAGCUGGUGGUGCGCUUGUAGUUACCGUCCAUGAAGCUGAAGAUGUGGAAGGAAAGCACCACACUAACCCACAAGUGCGCAUACUUUUCAGGGGCGAAGAGAAAAGAACCAAGCUUGUCAAGAAAAAUCGGGAUCCACGAUGGGAAGAGGAGUUUCAGUUUAUAUUGGAAGAGCCACCGAAAAAGGAGAGGCUUCAUGCUGAAGUGGUUAGCCACUCCUCAAGGAUGGGGCUGUUGCAUCCCAAGGAAACUCUUGGAUACGUGGACAUAGACUUGGCGGAUGUUGUUAGCAACAGAAGAAUCAAUGAGAAAUACCAUCUGAUAGACUCGAAGAAUGGACGGCUUCAACUCGAGCUGCAAUGGAGAACAGCUUCUUGAGGGGUAUUGCAGUAAAAGAUGUGUGUAGAAAUGGUAAAUGCCCUGUAAAUUUCGUUUCCUUUCGGAUCAUGUCCCGUGCGUUUUCAUAAAUCUGUGUAAAUGCUACUCUCUGAUUUCUCACCCUACCAGACAAUUCAAAGAAUGCCUUUGAACUUCCAAAUCCAGAAUUUGCUAUCGAUGAAUAUAUUUCUUGUUUGAGAUCAA